CUUGCCUUCUGCCAGAAGUCGGGUGGCUCUCAGUUCUGGCAGUCCCUUGUCCAGCUCCUCCCUGUGCUCCGCAUUGGUACCUCUAUCUCGGUAGGAUCUGGCCGUUCGACGUUAUUCUGGUAUGACCGUUGGGCCGGUGACGCCCCCUUUGCGGCUCGCUUCCCCAUUCUCUUUGCUAUCUCUGUCGACCCCAUGAUCUCUGUUGAUAGGGCCCUAUUUGACUUAGGGCGCCUCGCUUUCCGUCGGCCAUUUGGGCCUGCGGAAUCCGCCGCCUGGCGUGAGCUUCUUGAGUGCGUCGCUCUUCAUGAGCCGCUGGUUGACGGCGUCCAAGACCGUGUUCGAUGGCAUUUGGAGCCGUCUGGCCAGUUCUCUACCAAAUCGCUCUAUGCGGCCAUUGCCCCCUCCGCCGCCCCUCCCCCCCUCUCAAUGGUUUGGUCCGUCCGCCUCCCUCUGAAGAUCCGUAUC
rnacentral:rRNA from 1 species